rfam:Microgenomates (Woesebacteria) bacterium GW2011_GWA1_39_8 TT61_C0008, whole genome shotgun sequence.
GCACCCGUAGCUCAGCGGUAGAGCAACGAUCUUAUAAGUCGUGGGUCCUUGGUUCGAAUCCAAGCGGGUGCA